GAACAACCCGGCUGCGCACCUUCUCCUGGUGCUGGGGGUUAAGCUAUGGUGCCACAACACAUUGCAGGUGCAUGACUGGGGCUGUCUGCCCUUUGCCGGUGGCCCUUGUAACUAACUGCCAGCUACAGCC